GCGCCUCGGGCCGCGGGACCUGCCGCCGCCGCCGCCGCCGCCUCUGCGGCCGCGUCAGAACCGAGGAGAGGAAGGGGAGGAGCCGAGGGGAGCCUAAGCUGCCGCCUGAUCUUACCCCUGACCCGGCGGCGGGCGGCGGCGGCGGGCGGCGGGCGGCGGGGAGAGCUCGCGCCGCAGCGGUCUCCUCCGGGGCAAGGCGGCGGCUGCUCCUUUGGGAGCGAGGAGGAAGGCCCGGCCCGCGCGGCCAUGCUCGGGCGCGCACCCCCCGAAGGAGGAGAUGUUAGUAGUGUUUUAGAUUUCAGGGAUCAUUCUUGCUUGCGUGAAGCUUUGGAGAGCUGAUUUUGGUCGUUAGGUAAGUGUCCACAACCGUCACCGAGAAAACGUUGGCCUGCGUUUCAGGUCUAAUUCAAAGGCUAUUUCCUUUCUCAAAUAAAUAUUGUUACUCUUAGGCAGCUUUUCCUACAGAUGUUAGUUACCCUGGAAAGUGAAUUCGAGUAAAACUCAUGGAGUUGUAAAGUGUAGUUAGUUAGUUCUCUAGGAAAGGACAUUUUGAGAUGAAAGUGUCAGAAUCCUCGGAAUCUGCCUUGAACCUGUCCGUGGAGACUGAGAUGAGAAAGCAGCAGCAAGGACGGAAGGACGCAGAUUCCAGAGUCCCGCCGCCGGACCCUGGCACACCCCACCUGCUCCCGAAGCAGCAUGAAUGGAUGUUACAAGUCUUUCCACUUUGGGAAAUAAGGAGCGAGUUUUUAUAGGCAGAUUUUGGAAGCUCGGGGUUUCUACCAGCAUCAUAUGCAAACAGUAGACCAAAGAAGGUUCUAAUUGGGCGAACCCAAGGGCUCAUUUUUAUUAAAAUGCUGCAGCAAGAGUGAUAGGGGUGGGGAAGUGGGUGUUGGCAGAAGCAAGAAGAGACUCACAAAGCAGAACUUGCCCAGGUGUCCUUGAUGCGAAGUCCCAAGAGCCAGGCUAACUUUCCUGUUAAAGCUACUGUGGAUUUUACUGCGUUGUCGUGACCACUGCCUUACCAUGUCCUUCCAAGUUAAGACUCAGAGAAUCUGAUCCCCAAGUGAUAGCCCCACAUGGUUUUGCCUCUCCCUAAUUUCCUGGCAGACAUUGAAUGAGUUGAAUGCACAGAUUUAAGAGAUUUUUGUGAAGCUGAGCACCUCAGAUUUUAAGCCCUUUGGACACUGGAUAAAAAGUGAGAACAUGAGAGCUCUGCAACCCAGCAGGGGACACCUCCAGAAAAGUGCGUACUGUACCACAUGGGGUUUUUCAGCAGCCUGAUGUGUUUUCAUUGUAAGUGGCUCCACCUUAGAACCUUAGUACUGAGAGACAGAAAAGCACUCAGGAGAGCCCUCAUCCAGCUACUUAUGAAGAAAUAGAAGCACUAAACUUACUGGGCAAAAUCCACACUCCUCACCACCCAGUACGGUAGCUGGAGGAAACAGAUGGAACUGGCAAGUGGAGAGGAGGAAGUUCAUGCAUUUCCAACUUGGUCUGCGUCUCUUUAGUUCUUUUACUUAUUAAUCCAGAGGAGGAAACAGCUAGUUUGUUCCAGAAUUCCAAAAAAUCUGAAAUUUCAGGUAACAGUUCUUUUCCUGCUUCAUCAGUUUGUGAUAAAGAUCUGCGUACAAUGUUAAAAUAUAACAAAGGAAUGUUUGUAUAGGGUUCUUUUCUCCUGCACUUGAAAGUGAGCUCUUAUGAGAGACUAUUUUAAUCAGCGUUUUAUUAUCCCACAUCAGUGGUUUUUACUGUCAGAGAUUUUGUAAAGCUAGAUUAUCUGGUAAAAUUUGUACAAAUGCCUUCCAGAGUCUUCAAUUACUUUUAGCAUUUUUAUUGUGAAAUACACAUUAAAACGCAGAAAGCAGUUAUUUGUUAUAAUAAGUAGUUAUAAAAGAAACCUCCCUGUGACCAGCCAGGUCAAGAAAUGGAACAUUGCCAGCAUCCUAGAAGCCCCCCCUGGUGACCUUCCUGAGCACAACUCUCCCUCUCUUUUAGAGGUAGCCAUUAUUCGAACUUUCCUGAUAAUCAUCUCCUUGUUUUUCUCUAUUGUCUUUUUCACAAGCAAGCAUCCCUAAACAAUAUGUUUAGUUUUGCCCUUUCUGUUGAACUUUAUUAAAUGGGACAACAUAGGAUGUAAUUUGUUUGCUUGCUGCUUUCACACAUCAUUUUUAAUCCAUAUGUUGUUCAGGUUGUUCAUAUAAUUGUAAUUUGUUCAGUUAAUUGCAGUGUGCCAUUGUAGCAAUAUGCCAUAAUUUAUUUAGCCAUUCUAUUGUUGAUGGACAUCUGGAUUGUUUCCAGUGUGGAACUGUUAAAAAGGCUGCUGUGAACAUUCUUCGUAUGUGUACUCCAUCACAUUUAUAUCAGUUUCCGUAUGGCAUAUACCUGGGAGCUGCUUCUAGAGUCUUAUACCAGCCAUGUAGGUGAGUCCCAUUCCUCCACCCCCUCAACCCACUGAGUGUUGUCAAUCUUUUUGCCAGUCUGGUGGAUGUGUAUUAGUAUGUCAUUAUGGUUUUUUAAAUUUCUCUUAUUGGUGAUAUUAUCGAGUUCCUUUUCAUAUAUUGACUAGCCAUUCAGAUUUCCUCUUUUGAAGUGCUAUUACUUUUUUCAUUCCCAGUAUUUGAGAUGCCUGAUUUUCCAAUAUCCUUCUAUAGUCCACAUUUGAACAAUGUAUUUCAGGCACACAGUGAGAGAGAGAGAGAGACGCAGAGACAUAGGCAGAGGGAGAAGCAGGCUCCAUGCACUGGGAGCCCGACGUGGGAUUCGAUCCCGGGUCUCCAGGAUCACGCCCUGUGCCAAAGGCAGGCGCCAAACCGCUGCGCCACCCAGGGAUCUCUCUUCAGUCGUAUUUAAAUGUAAAUAUUUUUAGAGAAACUAAAAACUGGACUCAUAAUAUUUGGAAAUAAUUGUUUUUACAAUAUAUCCUUUCUCUCUUUAACAAUGUUACAUUUUAAGUCUAAGAGUACUAUGUAUUUUUAAUAGAGGAUGGUCUCCCUUUAGUAAGUAGCUUUUCACUCACCUUCAACAUCACAGUGAAGCUUUAAUAAGUGGGGAACUCAUUCUCUGAGAUAUUGAGCAUUCCCCUAUUUUCUGAAAAUUACCUAUACAUUUUCUUAGACGCUGCUUUCUUCUCCUUUCACCCCACUGUGCUUUUCCUAGAAAGCUCUGAUUUUUCUCCCACCUAAAACCCUUAUUAGCUCUUUUCCCACUCCCUGAAUUUGUCUUAACUUCCUAGAAACCCUUUCCAAUAGUAUCUAACUACACAGUUCUUAAAUCUCUUAUUCUCUACAUGCCUUUCAGGCUACCACAACCUCUUCUUAGCUCUAUGGGCAUCUGCACCUGAUUUCCUUUACCAAAACCCUUUCACUAGAAGUCUUUUGCAUCAGAAUCCACCACCGUGAAGGAAAGAAAAGGCAUGACAUCUUCAAGAACCUAGAAUGUGCAGUUAUUUGAUCUUCACGAAACCCUGCAAACUAGGUGCAAGAUACCCACAUUCCUUUUUCCUCUCCUUGAGCACAUGAGAAGACUGUUUCCCAGUUUCCCUUGCUAUUAGCCUGGGCCAAUGUAAUUGGUCUCGCCAGGAGCUAUGGGCAAAAGUAAUGGGCCUGGUUCCCAAGCUUGACUCUAAAGUCUCUUGUGAAACAAUCAGCUUGUGACUUCCAUUGUCGACAAUGCUUAAAAGCAAAGGAUGUUAAGAUACUGGAUUACCUGUAUCACAAGAGUUCAGAUUCUUUAGUUGCUGCAGCAACAGAUAGUGAACAGAGCAGAAUGUAAAGUUGUAUUAAGUUUCUGAGUUUAUUACCAAAUUUGUAUUUAGACACAUAAAGAAUAGCAAGUCAUUGUGUUUGUAGUCUAGUGAAGUUAGGUUACAUAAGCUUUCGCGACCUGACAUCAAAAUGCGAUCCCCCUUGUUAAACUGUUAUUAUAGAAACGUGAGUUCUGAGUUCCAGUCCAAACUAUAAAAGAACUUAAAGAGAAAAGGAAACAAAAACUCUAGGGAUUGAUUUUUCUGUGAAAGAAGUACCACACAUGAGAACACCAGUACCCUUGAGGUAUUUGUUUAAGGCUGCCUUUUCAACAAAUAGGCUGCCAUUUCAAAGAUGAAGAAAUCCUCAGGUUCUCCAGCCUUUUAUUUCAAGGUAGACAUUUCUUUUAAUAACCAAAUAAAAUGUUAUGACCUACCAUCUUACAUGCUAUGAAAAGUUCAGAGCCAGUUCUCUCCACUAUAGCUGGCUUACUCAAAUUAUUUCAAUGCUGUGCCCUGCACUGAACACUACUAUUUAAUUCAUCAACAUGAGAGUGUUCUAUGUAGUGGACUUUUAGGUUGAGGAGUAACAACUGGUUGUUAUAGUAUAAGAGCCAACUUAGAGUACAGGAUACAACUUCCAAAAAUCAAUGUCAAAUAAAACUUUCCCUAAAACUAUUGGCCAAUUACAACCUGAAGGAUUUCUUUUACUGAUUGUAUCUUUCCUUAAGUCUCUUCCCAUCACCCUAUAUUUGCUACUCUAACCCCCACAUUCUCCUCACAUCCCUCCAAAGCAAUCUCUUUAAGUACAAGAUUCCUUUUAUUUUAUUGAGCAAGCCAUUCAACUCUCUUGGGUUUCAACCUCUCAUGGAAAGCCCAUUAGGGUGCCCCAUUAGGGCUCAUCUGCCUUCAGCUCAGGUCAUGAUCAGGGGGUUCUGGGGUUGAGCCCAGCUUUGGGCUCCCUGUUCAGCAGAGAGCCUCUCCUUCUGCCCCUCCCCCCUGCUUGUGCUCUCAUGUACAUGAUAGCUCUCUAUCUCAACUAAAUAAAAAUCUUUUUUUAAAAGCCCAUCAAGCUCGUUAUCAAUAACAUUCACAGAUGUAAAUAACAGAAAACCCAACUGGCAUAAAGAUUUAGAGGAUUCAUUGUUUCUUUCAGUGAAAAAUCCUCUAGUCUGGAAUUCAAGAUUGGCAUAGUAGCUCAGAAUAUGAUCAGUUACCCGGACUACUUUUCUUUCUUUGCCAUCCUAUUGCCAUCCACACCACACUGACUUUUAUCAUCAUGAGUCACACAUCAGCAGCCAUUCCUCAGGAGUCACAUUUAAAUUGCAGACUAGAAGGAAGAGGAAAGGGUGGUGCCUGUAGGAGGAAAUGCUAAUUCUUUCCUUGAUGUUUCCAGCACACUCCUGUUUAGGUCUGGCUGAUAGAAUGUAUCUUGGGUCCAUGCCUAGAUCUAAAGAAGGCUGGGAAGUAUUUUUACUGGGCAUUAUGGCCCAAAGUGAGGUUGGAAUUCCAUUAAUAAGAAAAGUGGGAAAAACAGAUAAGGAGUAGGAAAUUAGCAGUGUUUGAUGACACACUUGUCUUAGUCCUGACUGCUAUAAGAAGGAACCAGUGGUUGGGUGGCUCAUAAACAACAGAAAUGUACAGUUCUAGAAGCUGGAAGUUUGUGAUCAGGAUGCAAUCAUGGUCAGGUGAGAGACCCUCUGACAGGUCAACUUUUUUGCAGCCUCACAUGAUGGAGAACAGAGAACAUCAACCACUCUCCUAACUUUUAUAAGGGUAUGAAUCCCAUUCAUGAGGCCUACAUCCUCAUGACCUGUCUACUCCUAAUUACUCCCAAAGGCCUCGCCUGAUAGUACUAUCCCACGGUUGUGUAGGAAUGGGGCAGGGGGCAGUAAUAAGAUACCAACCUGUAAACAUUCAGUCCAUAACACCCUUAGAGAUGUUUUUCUUAGAAGAACCAUGUACCCCAGAGAUGAAAUACCACUUUCUAAUCCCAGAAAUAGCUACCAUUUUUAUUUUAAAUGGUAUUUAAAUGUUUUUAUAUUAUGUAUUUAUUUUUAACAUUUUAUUUAUUUAUUCAUGAGAGACACAGAGAGAGAAGAGGCAGAGACACAGGCAGAGGGAGAAGCAGGCUCCAUGCAGGGAGCCCGAUGUGGAACUCUGUCCCAGUACUCCAGGAUCACGCCCUGAGCCAAAGGCAGACCCUCGACCACUGAGCCACCCAGGCGUCCCUAAAUGUCUUUAUUUUAAAUAGCAAUUUUCCUUCCUGUUGAAUCUUUUUUGCUUCUUGUAGCUUAAAAAUUCUAGCAAUUCGAUUUCAAGAGCACUUUUAAAUAAAUGAAUUUGUGAUCUCCAGAUGGUUGGCUUUUAGUCUCUUACAUCAUCAUUGCAAAAGACAUAUCAGUGGCAUUUUUAAGCUCUUUUUUUAGACCUAUGUCUAAGAAUGAUUAAAUUUUCAUUUCCUUAUUAAAACCAAAAAUAACCAUUCUACUUAUUUUCAAACCAUCAAACUCACAGAAAAAUGGAAAGUACAGUUUAAAGAAUUUUUUGUCUUGAGCCAUUUGGGAGUUAAUUGCCAACCUGAUGUCCUAUCACCCCCCAAAUACUUAAGCCAAUAUAUACAGCACAUUCUCCUACAUAAUCACAGUGCAACCAUCAAAAUCAGCAUAUCAAGUUGAUGAUUUCUACUAUCCAAUCCUGAGACUUCCAUUAAAUUUCAUCCCUUGUCCCAGUAAUAACCUUGAUAGCAAAAUAAAGGGUACACUUUGGAAUGUGUGUUGAGUUCAAUUGUCACAUCUCUUUAAUCUCCUUAAAUCUGAAAUGUUUCCUUAGUCUUUCUUUGGCUUCCACAACUUUGAUACUUCUGAAGAUUAUGGUUACUUCUUGUGGAGACUAUCCCUCAACUUCAGUGUGUUUGUAUUUAGCAGGAAUAUUACCAAAGUAGUGCUAUUCUUAUUAUAUCUCAUUAGGUGCCACUCAAUUUGUCCUACUACUGAUGAUGUCCAGUUUAAUCACCCAAUUAAAAUGAUGUCUGCCAGGCUUCUCCACAACUAGGUAACUCCAAAAUAAAUUACUGUUUUUUCCACUUGGAAUUAAUAAGUUUUAAUUUUGUGAGGAGAUACUUUAGAUCUAAAUAAAUAUCUCGUUCCUUAUCAAAUUUUCACUUUUUCAUUUAUAUCAGCAUGGGCUCAUGGUUUUCUCUCUUGUUUAAUGAGUUAAAAUCUGUUACUAUUGUUAUUUAUUUUGAUGCUUAAAUUGUCCUAUAUUUGACUAGUGGGAACUCCUCCAGAUUGGCUUCUGUGUCAUUUUGUCCCAUCAUUCUUUUAGUACUUUUUUUUUCUAGCCCAACAAAAUGUUCCAGACCCAGUGUUGAAAGUGUCCCUUUCUCCAAGGAAUAGGAGUUACCAAAUAAAAUAAAAGUUAAUCAGUUAAACUGGAUUUCAGUUUAUUUUGGCAUAGGUAUGUCCCAUUCAAUAAUUUCUUAUUUACUAAAUAUCUGCUAUAUUUUUAUAAGAUAAAUGUGGCACCAUACCUUGGUUCCUUUAAAAGGUGAAUGGUAUUUAGAAGCCACAAUCUGGGUGGGUCUGCUGGUUGCAAUUUGAGUUCACAGCUCUCAGACUCUCUUGAGCUAAGGAACACACACACACACAUACAUACAUUUACAUCUGUAUUUAUAUAUCAAUAUUGAUGCCAUAUAAAUAUGUAUACAGUGUAAUCCAUAAAUUCACAUUGAUGGUGUCUAAUUCCAAUCCCACACCUGGGAGUUAUUCUGGUUUUUUCCUUUUCCAUAUUUAUGACUUCAGUCUCCUAGAGAAAAAACCCUCGCUUGUGUUAUCCUUCAUACACAUACUUAUUUGAUCAGUCCCUUGGUAUAUAACCAAACUCACACCAUUACCACUGCUCCCUUGCCCUCCUCAGCUGAUUGUGCUAGGACCCCUGUGCCAGGCUAUCCCCACAAACACCCUCUUCAACAAACCUGGGCUCUGACCUCACCACUGGCCACCCCACAGUAUGGAUGCCCUCUUCACCUUGCUCGGGAUCUGCCCCACCCCCCACCCCCUACUGCUGCUUCUGACAACAUGCCACCCGUCUGCAUGGAUCUUCUCCUCCCCCUGUUCAGUCUUUGCUACCACAUGCCUCGGCCUGCUCAGAAUCCAGCUCCACACUGGUCCUCCCUGUGUGCUCACCCUCCUCACCUGGCUCUAAGCAUAGAAGUCUUUAAAAUAAGUGAUCUUUGGGAUGCCUGGGUGGCUCAGCGGUUGGGUGUCUGCCUUCACCUCAGGGCGAAAGAGUACCAGGAUCAAGUCCCACAUGGGCUCUUUGCAUGGAACUUGCUUCUCCCUCUGCCUUUGUCUCUGCCUCCCUCUCUAUCUCUCAUGAAUAAAUAAAUAAAGUGUUUAAUAAAAACAGUAAGUGAUCCAUAAGUACAAAAUAUAUUAUUCAUCACUCAUAACACAAGCUGAAGUUUUCAGUAUAAAAGAGACUUUGACAGAGGCACCUGGAAAAAUAGUUACUCAUAGAUAUUUGUAUUCAUUUGCAUUGAGCUGAUACUAACCAUUAUUUAUUGACUAAUAGUAAAAUUCUGAGAAAAGUCAAAAUUAGAAAUGUAGACUACUGUUUAAAAACAUAUGUCUGUUCUCUAUUUCCUCUCAAAACCCCCUAAAAUAAUAGUAAAGGAAUAAAAAGCUAUAAAAAGUACAUAGAGAACAGGAAAUAAGGUAAUAGGAGAAAAGAGAUGUCAGGAAAUUCUAGAAGGUAGUAGGUGCACAGGAGCAACCAAAUCACUUCAAGAAAAGGAAGCUAGAAUCUAAGUCUCUGCAGCAGAGUGUCCUGCAAUAACCAGCCAAUUCCUGAUAUGGAACCCUAGAAAAUGGCAAAAUUAAAAUCACUAGUUGCCUCUGAAGGCACAAAUGCAGGGUAAAGCAGAAAACAGGCUUUUUCUUAAAUAUAAUGGAAAGCCAACGACCACCAAACAUGAGGGAAGUCUAAUACGAAAGUAAAGAAAAUUAACUUGGAGGAAACUGAGAUAAUACAGAAGAAGAAAAGUAUCAAAGACGGUAAUAAAACUUUUUAAAGACUAAUGGGAAUGGGAUAACUGUAUGUCUGUGUAUGUUGAGAUAAUGAAAGACUCAUCUUUAAUAAUAGGAACUUAAUAGGUGACAUCUUGGCUUGAAAAAUCAUGACCUACCUGUAUCUGCAUAUUAUUUAGACGCAAAUACUAAAAGGAAAAAGUAGCACCGGAAGAGUUGAAAGUAGUUGCCUCUAAAGAAUUCAUAUUAGUUGAGAGGAAAUGCAGGUGCCCUUGAUUUUUUUUUAAUAUUAUUUAUUUGGGAGAGAGAGCACAAGCAGGGAAGAGUUUCAGAGAGAGAGAGGGAGAAGUAGACUCCCUGCUGAGCAGGGAGCCUGAUGCAGGGCUGGAUCCCAAGACCCUGAGAUCCUGACCUGAGCCAAAGGCAGACACUUAACCAACUGAGCCACCCAGGUGCCCCAUUGUUUAUUUCUGUGAUUGUUCUUUAUGAGCCCAUAAAUUACUUUGAUAAAAAUUAAAAUUUAAUUUAAAAAUUAAGUUUGUACAGAUUAAAAUAUCUUCAUGUAGCACAAUUUGAAAAGAAGCAGGCUAUAGUGGAAAGGACCAGAAUUUGAUAUCUAGGUUCAUGGAUAAUUCUGCCCUUUUAUUGCUUAUGCAAAUCUGUGAAAGUCUUAAGCCUUGAGACUCAGUUAUACAUUUAUGACUUGGGGAAAAUAAUACUUGCCCUACUGUCUUAGUUUAUAAAGCUUGCCAUAACAAAAUACUGCAGACCAAGUAGCUUAAACAAGUUUUCCCCCACCCAUUCCCCCAUCCCCCCCACCCGCACCCACCCCAACACCCCUACCCGCAGUUCUGGAGGCUGAAAGUCCAUGAUCAAGGGCUUGGCUGGGUUGGUUUCUCUUGAAGCCUCUCUCCUUGUCUUGUAAAUAACCCCUCCUUGCUGUAACCUCAAAUGGCCUUUCCUCUCAGGGAGUUCAUCUUUAAGGGCUCUUCCUCUUCUAAUGAGGAUACUAGUCAGAUGGGAUUGGGGCCCUACCCCAAUGGUCUCAUUUUAAUUUAAUCACCUCUUUAAAGACUUUAUCCCCAAAAAUAGUUACAUCUGUGGUUCUGGAGAUUGGGAUUUCCACAUGUAAACUUUGAGGAAACACAAUUCAGUCCAUUAUACCUACUUUCUACAUUCACUCAUUUGCUGAGAUCUUUUGGGGUUCCUUCAUGUUCCAUCCUGUGCUAGGCAAUGAGGACUGAAUGAGAGGAUCAAAUGAGAUAGAUGGCCUUUUGAAACUAAAGUAUUUUUUUAAAUGAAGGCAGACCCCAUCCAGCAUAAUUCUUUGCUUACAGGAAAUAAUUAAAGUGGAAUUAAGUGAAGAAGAUGGAAAUUUUUUAAAAAGGAAGAAAAGGCAAGUGUGGACAAAUUUAUUGAAUAGCCCUGAUAUGUGCCAGGCACUGAUUAUAAGAUUUAUAUAAAUUGUCUCAUUUAAUCCUUACUUCUACCCUGCUGGAAAGACAUUAUCAAAGUCAUUUUCCAGACAUCUGGGUGGCUCAGCAGUUGAGCGUCUGCCUUUGGCGCAGGUUAUGAUCCCAGGUCCAGGGAUCGAGUCCCACAUCAGGCUCCCUAUGAGGUGCCUGCUUCUCCCUCUACCUAUGUCUCUGCCUGUGUGUGUGUGUGUGUGUGUGUGUGUGUGUGUGUG